UACGUAGGGGGCAAGCGUUGUCCGGAUUUAUUGGGCGUAAAGAGCGUGUAGGCGGCCAGGUAGGUCAGCUGUGAAAACUCGAGGCUCAACCUCGAGACGUCGGUUGAAACCACCUGGCUAGAGUCCGGAAGAGGAGAGUGGAAUUCCUGGUGUAGCGGUGAAAUGCUCAGAUAUCAGGAAGAACACCCGUGGCGAAGGCGGCUCUCUGGGACGGUACUGACGCUGAGACGCGAAGGCGUGGGGAGCGAACGGG
rnacentral:rRNA from 1 species